ACCCUAGAGAAAAAAAAAUCCCCUUAAAAAGAAAAAUUAAGAAAGAAAGAAAGAGAAAAAGGAACAGCACAAAGGAGAGCGAGAACUGUUUCAGGGAGAUGACUGCAGCUGCUGCAGGGAGAAUGCAUUCCAGGGCUUCAAGAGCAGACGCAGGAAGCUGGAAUCAACAUUUUGACACUUUACAAUAAUGUUUCAGGAUGAAAUCAGUGUCUCCUUUUCGCCGAUAAAAACGCCAAGGGCUCAGUGAAGCUAAGACACUUGUCCCAAGACGCACGCACAGGGCAGUCCGGAUGCGGAUCCAGGCCCAGCCCUCCUGUGGUUCUGGCAGCAAGAAAGCCGCCAGGCAGGUGACCGUGAGGGCUCACUAAUAGUGACGGCGCGGAUGACGGGAACACUGACCAG